rnacentral:rRNA from 1 species
AUGUUUGCAUGCAAGAAAACAGAUGCAAGUGCAGAUACCCACGGCCGUUCAAUGAAAACACAUCACAGGGGAAGGACUCGUACCCAAUUUAUCGGCGUAGAGACGAUGGAAGGCGUGCUAAGGUCCGAGGGAAGAUGUUGGACAACAGAUGGGUUGUGCCUUAUAACCCAUACCUGCUGCGGAUGUUCAAUUGCCACAUCAACGUUGAGGUCUGCUCCAGCAUAA